rnacentral:rRNA from 1 species
UGGCGAUAUAUUGGGCUAAAGCGUCCGUAGCUGGCCAGACAGUCCAUUGGGAAAUCCACGCGCUCAACGCGUGGGCGUCCAGCGGAAACUGUCUGGCUUGGGGCCGGAGGACUCGAGGGGUACGUCUGGGGUAGGAGUGAAAUCCCGUAAUCCUGGACGGACCACCGGUGGCGAAAGCGCCUCGAGAGGACGGACCCGACAGUGAGGGACGAAAGCCAGGUUCUCGAACC